UGUCGAGCUUGCUCACAGGCACAUCAUAUCCAUAACACCUGUGCACUUGUCGGAUGGCUUAGUGAAGACCGCAAGGUUGGAUCUAUCCAUCUACUUUACAUAACAAUUCUGUAACAAAUGUAGUCUUAUUAUAACAUAAUAAAACUUUCAACAACGGAUCUCUUGGCUCUCGCAUCGAUGAAGAACGCAGCGAAAUGCGAUAAGUAAUGUGAAUUGCAGAAUUCAGUGAAUCAUCGAAUCUUUGAACGCACCUUGCGCUCCUUGGUAUUCCGAGGAGCAUGCCUGUUUGAGUGUCAUGAAAACCCUCAACCCUAGAUUGGUUAAAACCUUUCUUUGGUUUGGAUUUGGACGUUUGCCGAUGAUAAGUCGGCUCGUCUUAAAAGUAAUAGCUGGAUCUGUCUCGCGACAUGGUUUGACUUGGCGUAAUAAGUAUUUCGCUAAGGACAUCUUCGGAUGGCCGCGUUGCAGGACUAAAGACCGCUUUCUAAUCCAUUGAUCUUACGAUUAAUAUUCUUGACAUCUGGCCUCAAAUCAGGUAGGACUACCCGCUGAACUUAAGCAUAUCAAUAAGCGGAGGAA
rnacentral:rRNA from 1 species